AAAUUGAAGAGUUUGAUCAUGGCUCAGAUUGAACGCUGGCGGCAGGCCUAACACAUGCAAGUCGAACGGUAACAGGAAGCAGCUUGCUGCUUUGCUGACGAGUGGCGGACGGGUGAGUAAUGUCUGGGAAACUGCCUGAUGGAGGGGGAUAACUACUGGAAACGGUAGCUAAUACCGCAUAACGUCGCAAGACCAAAGAGGGGGACCUUCGGGCCUCUUGCCAUCGGAUGUGCCCAGAUGGGAUUAGCUAGUAGGUGGGGUAAAGGCUCACCUAGGCGACGAUCCCUAGCUGGUCUGAGAGGAUGACCAGCCACACUGGAACUGAGACACGGUCCAGACUCCUACGGGAGGCAGCAGUGGGGAAUAUUGCACAAUGGGCGCAAGCCUGAUGCAGCCAUGCCGCGUGUAUGAAGAAGGCCUUCGGGUUGUAAAGUACUUUCAGCGGGGAGGAAGGGAGUAAAGUUAAUACCUUUGCUCAUUGACGUUACCCGCAGAAGAAGCACCGGCUAACUCCGUGCCAGCAGCCGCGGUAAUACGGAGGGUGCAAGCGUUAAUCGGAAUUACUGGGCGUAAAGCGCACGCAGGCGGUUUGUUAAGUCAGAUGUGAAAUCCCCGGGCUCAACCUGGGAACUGCAUCUGAUACUGGCAAGCUUGAGUCUCGUAGAGGGGGGUAGAAUUCCAGGUGUAGCGGUGAAAUGCGUAGAGAUCUGGAGGAAUACCGGUGGCGAAGGCGGCCCCCUGGACGAAGACUGACGCUCAGGUGCGAAAGCGUGGGGAGCAAACAGGAUUAGAUACCCUGGUAGUCCACGCCGUAAACGAUGUCGACUUGGAGGUUGUGCCCUUGAGGCGUGGCUUCCGGAGCUAACGCGUUAAGUCGACCGCCUGGGGAGUACGGCCGCAAGGUUAAAACUCAAAUGAAUUGACGGGGGCCCGCACAAGCGGUGGAGCAUGUGGUUUAAUUCGAUGCAACGCGAAGAACCUUACCUGGUCUUGACAUCCACGGAAGUUUUCAGAGAUGAGAAUGUGCCUUCGGGAACCGUGAGACAGGUGCUGCAUGGCUGUCGUCAGCUCGUGUUGUGAAAUGUUGGGUUAAGUCCCGCAACGAGCGCAACCCUUAUCCUUUGUUGCCAGCGGUCCGGCCGGGAACUCAAAGGAGACUGCCAGUGAUAAACUGGAGGAAGGUGGGGAUGACGUCAAGUCAUCAUGGCCCUUACGACCAGGGCUACACACGUGCUACAAUGGCGCAUACAAAGAGAAGCGACCUCGCGAGAGCAAGCGGACCUCAUAAAGUGCGUCGUAGUCCGGAUUGGAGUCUGCAACUCGACUCCAUGAAGUCGGAAUCGCUAGUAAUCGUGGAUCAGAAUGCCACGGUGAAUACGUUCCCGGGCCUUGUACACACCGCCCGUCACACCAUGGGAGUGGGUUGCAAAAGAAGUAGGUAGUUAACCUUCGGGAGGGCGCUUACCACUUUGUGAUUCAUGACUGGGGUGAAGUCGUAACAAGGUAACCGUAGGGGAACCUGCGGUUGGAUCACCUCCUUACCUUAAAGAAGC
rnacentral:rRNA from 1 species